UACGAAGGGGGCUAGCGUUGCUCGGAAUCACUGGGCGUAAAGCGCACGUAGGCGGCUUUCUAAGUCAGGGGUGAAAUCCUGGAGCUCAACUCCAGAACUGCCUUUGAUACUGGAGAGCUUGAGUCCGGAAGAGGUGAGUGGAACUCCGAGGUGUAGAGGUGAAAUUCGUAGAUAUUACGGAAGAACACCAGUGGCGAAGGCGGCUCACUGGCCCGAUACUGACGCUGAGGCACGAAAGCGUGGGGAGCAAACAGG
rnacentral:rRNA from 1 species